rnacentral:tRNA from 1 species
GGAAGCAUAGCUCGUUGGUUUAGAGCAUCUGCCUUACAAGCAGAGGUCGCUGGUUCAGAUCCGGCUGCCUCCA